rnacentral:rRNA from 1 species
UACGGAGGGUGCGAGCGUUGUCCGGAAUCACUGGGCGUAAAGGGCGCGUAGGUGGCGCGGCAAGUCAACGGGUGAAAGCUCGACGCUCAACGUCGAGUCGGCCGUCGAUACUGCUGGGCUUGAGCACUGUAGAGGCAGAUGGAAUUCCGGGUGUAGCGGUGGAAUGCGUAGAGAUCCGGAAGAACACCGGUGGCGAAGGCGGUCUGCUGGGCCGUAACUGACGCUGAGACGCGAAAGCUAGGGGAGCAAACAGG